AUUGAACGCUGGCGGCAUGCCUUACACAUGCAAGUCGAACGGUAACGGGCCUUCGGGUGCCGACGAGUGGCGAACGGGUGAGUAAUGUAUCGGAACGUACCUUUCAGUGGGGGAUAACGUAGCGAAAGUUACGCUAAUACCGCAUAUUCUGUGAGCAGGAAAGCAGGGGAUCGCAAGACCUUGCGCUGAUUGAGCGGCCGAUAUCAGACUAGCUAGUUGGUGAGGUAAAGGCUCACCAAGGCGACGAUCUGUAGCGGGUCUGAGAGGAUGAUCCGCCACACUGGAACUGAGACACGGUCCAGACUCCUACGGGAGGCAGCAGUGGGGAAUUUUGGACAAUGGGGGCAACCCUGAUCCAGCCAUGCCGCGUGAGUGAAGAAGGCCUUCGGGUUGUAAAGCUCUUUCGGCCGGGAAGAAAUCGCAUGGGUUAAUACCCUGUGUGGAUGACGGUACCGGAAUAAGAAGCACCGGCUAACUACGUG
rnacentral:rRNA from 1 species